GAAGUGAGGCAAAACAAGAACCUGCGCAUUGUACAACUGCGCACCGGCUCACCUUCCGGAACGAGUUUUCCCACGGACAAACCACACGGACGCCUCGUGGCUCGGUCAUCGUCCGCCACACAGGAAAAUGGCGCUGGAUGGCGCUUUAGUUCCCGCUUGUUGAUGGAUGACAUACCAAAGCCAACGGAUUUUUUUAGAAAUAUGGUAUUGGUGGCGACAUCUCUCCGCUGAUUUCACCAAGCUUACUCCACCGAUAGGUCAAGGCUCUUUCACCCCGUGCAUCAGAAAAUAUAAAAAUUCUUUGACAAUGUAGAAGAAACGGGAAAAUUAUUCACCUUGGUACCACAGGAUCUGUUGAUGUAUUUCAACGUCAGUGCAGCUGCGAAUGACGCCAGAUAGGACACCAGAGCCUCAUUUCGCCCUGGCGCCUCGCUGUCUGAUUUCUGGGAGGCCACUGGAACGACUUCUAGAAGUUUGGCCUUUAAAAAUGCAUGGAAUAGGACGGUUGAUGCUAUACCAAAUGCUGUUAUUACGACGACUAUAUCCUAUAAGAAUGGGUAAACAUCAAUAAAACAUCAGGCUGAGGUACGGAGACACAUCUGCUUGUAAGGUUUGUGAAUAUUUCGGGAGAUAUCUUAGAGAUAGGAUUGUUCCGAGAACAAUGAAUAAUUCGAGAUGGAUGGUUCCUUGUGAAUAAUGGAAUUAUUCAUUAUUGAUGGAAAGUCAUUGAGUCUGAUUCGUACGAGGUGAAUAAAUAUUUUUAAAAUUCAGUCUACUUGCAGACAAACUGAUUUUUCAAUUUUUUAUCAAGUAUUUGAAUUUGAAAGUCUGGAGUGAGUGGAAGAAAAUAGAAAAAUAUAAGUGAAGCACCACGGUUUUCCCUUUCUAUGUAGAAUAAUUCCAGUAGUUGAGAAAUAGUUUUAAUAACUUCAUCUCCAGGGAUUGCCCAAAAUAUUCACUCAGUGAAAUUAUCUCUCUCAUGAACUAAAAAGUGGAAAAUGUACUCGGAAUUUGUAACCGUCCUGCUCGCUCAAUUUCGCCAUGGAUUCAUCAUUCGUUGGUAAUACUAUCCACGUCACGAGGAAGACAAAUACAGCGGCACUAACUUGUGCUGAAUAUCUGUAGAAAAGAUUUAUAGUAUUCCAUACAUGACAGCUACGGGGUUGUAAUUAAUUUUAAUUUACCGUAUUGCUGUUAAAUCAGCUCUGAUCAACGGCGAGUGCGUAAGCAUUGGUAUCAUUGACAAAUGUGAUAUCUGAACAGCUGCCCAUCCAGUCUGGAAUAUCGUAAUGCUAGCCACAUAAGUGGCCAUUGAUAAUCCGCUGAGUGAUUCAAAGAAGUUUCCGAAGAUUACAGGGAAUGACAGUGCAACGAGAACCGAUCCAAUUAUGUGCCAUGUUUUUUUCUUACUGUAUCUGUCCACGAGGACUCCAAAUACAGGUGUCAUUAGAGCAUCCACCAAUUGCCCUUGGAAAGAGAAAAAAACAUAAGUAGAAACCUCGUUUUCUAGGUUCUCUAUAAUCACUGUCAGUCACUAUGAUAACACUAUCAAUGGUAAUUGUUAAUAAUUCCAUUAGUCAAUCAUGAAGUGGUGAAAAAUAGUAGCCAGACUCAUGAGCUUGACUGACGGAAUUAAAUAAACAUGGAAAUGAACACCACAAUUUUCAAUUAUCCUGAGAUAUCAGGCAUUACUAACCAAGGAGUAGCAGGGCACCAGCAGUUAUUGGUUCCAGAAGAGCAAUUCUUUGGAGAUAAAUCAGAGUAUAGGAGAACCACAUAGCAGCUGCCAAGUCAUUAAAAAUGUGCCCCAGAGAGUAAGCCAAUUUGGUCCUCAUGGAAAUCCUCCCCUCGAUGAGGGGAGUGCUUUCCUCCUGCCUCAUCUUGCUCAAACAAUUGGGUGUUAAUUGCUCAAUGAAACAGACAAUGACCCUCUUUGUACUUCGCCAUCGAAUGGUUGGCUUUGCCCACAGGAAAUAAACUUCCUUCGGAGUCAUACAGAGUGAGCCAUUCACCUGCGUAAACAGAGACUUUGUUAAUGAAUAUUAGUUGAUUUAUCGGGUGCACAAGAGAAUGUCAAACGUUUAAACAUCAACAUCUAUAACUACUGUAGUUGAGUUUAUUGAUGGAACAAAGUCAUUCGAAUUGAUCGUUGAAAGUAUUCAGAUGACUUCCUUUCGUCGUGAUGACAUUCAACACGAAUUGAAUGUCUUCACCACUGGACGGAGGCGGUGAUGAGAGGGGGGAGGGGGAUAAUUGAUUGCUGGUUCAAUUUCGCUUUCUUAUCUCCAUCAGUGGCAAUCGUAACUAAUGAUUGGUAAUUAUAAUUAACAACUUACACUCGUUAUUGCGUACGAAGAAGCGUCACAAAUUUCUCUGACAACCGGUUCUCCAUUCGUGCACGUUGGUGGUAACGUUGUGUACUGUGCUAGUCACAAGUGAGGACUCACCACUACAAAUGUCACCUUUUUAUUAGUUACGAAGUGGGGAUAUAGCCAUUUUAUUAGUAUACUAUCCCGGCAGUAGAACGAAUGAGGAAGAUCGUCUGAAUUAUUGUUCUUUUUUUCGGAGGGGAAACGGUGCAGGUUUCUAAUUCGACGUGGACUCGCGAAAGAUCGCGAUGCGCCUGGCACAAAGAAAACGGCUUUCGCAAGUCUGCAAGUAUUCCCCUCCGCGGUAACUCGAGAUCAUGGAGAGAAAUGCGAGUGACAAACCCGAGGGAAUCGAUACCUGGUUCUUGUACGGUCUCUCAGCCUGUUGUGCUGAGUUCAUUAACCGCUAUGGGGGAUCCCAUGUCAUUUAUUAUAUUAAUAAGACAGUAAUAUGCGGUUGUUUAUUUAUUUGCGAGAAGAGAGAAUGGAAGUAUGUGAUUUAAUUGGGUGGAUUAACUUCCAUCCGUGAGUUUUGCAGGAUUAUCUCUACAUUUUGAAGUGUGCGCAUUAUGGAUUAAAAUAUGAGUGUCUAGUGCGAGCACACGAUAUCCUGAGUUAAUCACUUAUCUACUGAAUUAAGGGAAAAAUCAUGAAUAUUGCGUUGAUGGAAUUUCAAUAGAAAAAUUAUAUGCGUAUAUUUCUCAAAUUCAUGCCGAAUUCUUACACAUGCAUAUUGCAUCUGAUUACUUAUGUACAUAUUCAGUGAUGAAUUAAUUUUCUGCGAUUGAAAAAAUAAUUCAUUCGUAAUAAAAAAAAUUCAUCUCAUUGUGAAUAAACGACUAGGCAUUUGUCUUAGGAAAGUAAAUUGCUACAUAAAGGAAUGUAACAUAACGAAUGUAUAAAAAUAAUGGAUAGAGUAUGUAUAAUUUUGCUUGCGUUCGUCAUGGACAGCUGGGAUUGUUUACAGGCUUCUGUUUUGAAGCUGACCUGGGAUACGUCAUCAAUUGUUGGAGCAAUUGGUGGUAUGCAGGUUGGUAUUGUCAUUCCAUGGCGAGAAGGGGUCAGCAUGCCACGUGGGGAGGAAGCUUGCUUGGUAUGUUAGCUGGGACAGUUCCAUUGAAGUCUGAUUUUUGCGAAGGGCUUAUGUGACCACAGUAUCCGGUAUUGGCUCAGUCCUGUUGGACGCUGCAUAUUCGGACUCUUCGAAUUGUCUGAGAUGAAUCUGAGGGAGAAAAAUUUAACGUACAAAACAAGAAACAAGAAAUUCAAUCUGAACUGAAUUCGGAAAAUUAAAAUGUCAGUUCCUGUUUAUAUUUUUCCAUUUUAUUCUAUGAUUAGAGAUUUUUUUUGCUCCCAAAGAAAUGGGCUUAUACUUGGCGAAAUAAAAUUACAAUAA